rnacentral:lncRNA from 1 species
UGAUAUGUGUUCCCAAGAUCUUGAGAACUACUGCCCGAAACAGAUACUAACAUACAGCGCCAUUGACACGGAUGGAACACUCACCCAAGGAGGCUAUUCUAAUAUCAUGGUAGCUGAUGAGCACUUUGUUGUUCGCUGGCCGGAGAAUCUGCCGAUGGAUAUCGGUGCACCCCUCCUAUGUGCUGGGAUCACUACUUAUAGCCCCUUGAGAUAUUUUGGACUUGACAAACCUGGCGUACAUGUCGGUAUUGUUGGCUUGGGCGGGCUUGGGCAUGUUGGCGUGAAAUUCGCGAAGGCUUUUGGUGCAAAGGUGACUGUGAUCAGUACCUCCGAGGGUAAAAGGCAGGAAGCCAUAGGAAAACUUGGUGCAGAUGGUUUCUUAAACAGCCGUGAUCCUGAGCAGCUGCAGGUAAUUAAUGUUUUAUUGGAGUUGUCUUGGUUCCGAGAUUAGUCACCGAUUGAUAUUGUAGGUUUUGCUAGUUGCAACAAAACAAUGUUUACUGAUUCAAAUUGUAAUUGGUCUGUUUAAUUGAAUGAGCAGGCUGCGGCAGGUACCAUGGAUGGUAUUAUAGAUACUGUUUCUGCUGUUCACCCCAUUGUCCCAUUGAUCAAUUUGUUGAAGCCUCAUGGGAAGAUUGUCAUGGUUGGGGUACCCGAAAAACCACUUGAAUUUGGCACAUUUCCCCUUAUAGCGGGUAAGCAUUGCAUUUCUCCCUUUGUUUUUCCCCUUUUUGUUGGCCUAGCAUUUUCUGGUCGUACUACCUGUGCCUAACUUGCAAACUUGAUGAAUUUACAGGCAGGAAGACCAUGUCUGGGAGUGCCAUCGGUGGCUUAAAGGAAACUCAAGAAAUGAUCGAUUUUGCCGCAAAGCACAAUGUCUUACCAGAUGUGGAGAUCGUCCCGGUGGACUAUGUCAACACCGCAAUGGAGCGCCUGUUGAAAGCUGAUGUCAAGUACCGAUUCGUGAUUGACAUUGGAAACACAUUGAAAUCUGAUUAAAUCGUGCAGCCCAUGCUCUCGAAAAUGUAGCUUAUACAAGAAAAGACCUAAAAAUAUCCUUUCCCUAUUAGAAUUUUUGUCCAGCUGUUAUGGGAUUGGAUUUUUACUAUUAAUGAAAUAUAUUACCAUCUGUAGUGAGUAGUAGUUUUAGUUUGAUACUUGAUACGAGUCUCAAUUGUAACAGCCUUGGAACUUGUUGCCGUCUUUCAAUGUAACGGCCGUCCCUGUCACGGAGAUGCUAUUACUUUGAAGUUAGUCGAUUAUCAUUACUUGUAUCGCCCAUUAACAUUCCUAUCCUCCAAAUAAAUAUCGGGAGAGGGCCAGUUAAAAUUUGAUACGAUUUGGUCUGGUUGUACUUUUUAUAUUAUUUAGUAUAUAAUUAAAUUAUAUUAUUGUAUUUGAAAUAAAAGUAAAAAUCGUGUACAUGAAUAAAAUAUUUGACUUAUGUUCAAUACAAUAUUUUGAUGUAUUUAUACAUAAAAGAAUUUAAACAUGUACAUCAAUAAGAAAUAAUCGCACAGAACGCAAUUAUAUUCGAUCCUAAUCCAUGUAUCCGCUUGUACUUACCCUCAUCUCUACUGUCCUUAUUUUCCAAAUAAAUGUUCGCUCGUACUUCCCCUUGUCAAUAGAGUCUGUUCUUAAGCCCAUAAAAUGAUUGUGACUUGUCUAAAGAUAAUUCUUGCUAGUAGAUAUUAUUGAUAUGAUGUACAACCAUUUCGUUUUUAAUUUUCAAGGAAAACUCUCUUGUCAUAUAUGGUUGUAACUUCUUAAGUGAGUAAUUUCGUACGAGAAGAAAAGGUAAUAAAUUUGUAAUUAAUGUUGACGAAUGCAUAACUCUAAAGACCUGUUUGGCGUUGCGGUGAUUUUAAUAAAAUAGCACUUUUAGAUGCUAAAAGUACUUUUAAGGUGAACAUUAUUCUAUAAAAUUAGGAGUGAAACUUUUUGUAUUAAAAGUAUUUUUAGCAAAAGUUCAAAUUUAGUGUUUUUAGAAUAGCUUUUGUGUUUGGAAAAAAUAAAAUAUUAAUUUAAUCACUUUAUGCUAUAUUAUGAACUAAAUAAAGAGAUAAAUAUAUUUAAAAAAUUUUCAAAUUAUAUAUUAUCUAAUACCAUAAGUACUUAUUGAAAUAUGUAUUUAAAUAAUAUACUUAAGGAAUUAAAAGCACUUAAGUACUUAAUAAGUGUUUUUAUUAAAAACUCUAUUAGAUAAAGUAUUUUUUUUUCAAUAAGUUAAAACAGGGCUUUCUCUAAACAUUGAGACCGUGUUUAAGGGAUAAUUUCAAAAACCUCUCCUGAGGUUUCUGACAAUUUCACUCAUCUCCCCUGAAGUUUGUAAAAUUAUACAAACCUGCUUGAGGUUAAGAUUUUCAUAACAAAGUUAGUCCAAUUAUAAAAAGUAACAUUAAAAAAGUAUUUUAAUGAAAGAGAUGAAACUUUUAUUUCGUAAAUACCCUUUAUGCAUCUAUAUAAAUAGUAUUAGUAAAUAAAAAUAAAAAUCAUUAAUACACAUAUUUAACCAUUCAAAACGUUCAUAUUUAAUAAAUUAGACAACAUAAAUAAAUAACAAAACUACACUAAUGAUUAUAAGAUUCAGCAAAAUAGACUAGUCAUCUCUUUUAAUAUGAUGUUUAUUAUAAUUCUUGUGAUUUUGAAUAGAAAAAUUUUCAAAAUUUGCCCUUUUUCCCUUAUUUCCAUGAAAUUACUCUACAAUUGUCUCUUUUAUUUCCAUUAAAUUACUUUACAAUUAUCACAGUUUUAAGAGUUUCAAAGAAAAUUAAAAGGAAGGAAAUAAAUAAAAAUUCUGAAAAUUUUUUUGUUCAAAAUCAUGAGAGUUAUAACAAACAUUAUGUUAAAAGAGCUGACUAAUCUAUUUUGCUGAAUCUCAUAAUCAUUGGUGUAGUUUUGUUGUUUAUUUAUAUUGUCUAAUUUAUUAAAUGUGAACUUUUUGAGUGAUUAAAUAUAUGUAUUAAUUGUUUCUAACUUUUAUUAUUUUUAUUCUUUUACUAAUACGACUUAUAUAAAUGCGUAAGGGAUAUUUAUGAAAUAAAAGUUUCAUCUUUCUCUUUAAAGUACUUUUUUAAUGUUACUUUUUUCUAAUUGGACUAACUUUGUUAUCAAAACCUUAACCUCAAGGGAGAUUUGUGUAAUUUUACAAAUUUCAUGGGAGGCUAGUGAAAUUGUCAGAAACCUCAGGAGAGGUUUCCGAAAUUAUCCCUGGUUUCAAUUAAAAAGAGGUUUCUGUUCAGUUGACUGCACAGUACACGCAGCCCCAAGAAAAUUUUGAAUAUCCACGUGGCAAAACAUGAAAGGUAAGCUAUGACGUGGAUUUGCUCUCUUACUUCACCUAUCACGUCACCCAUAUUCACUUGCUCAAAGCAUAUUUUAUAUUUUAAGCACAAAAUUCAACCAUAAAUAUUCGCCAUGCAAGCCACCCUCGCCAUCUUCUUGUCCUAAAACCCGAAACCCUCCUCAAAUCUGCUGCCGCUCUACCGCUGCUUUCUUAGACCGAAAAGAAAUAACAGUCCCCUUAAUCUUUUCAGGGUGAAGAAAUGGCAAAAACACCAGAAACGGAGCAUCCAGUGAAGGCCUUUGGAUGGGCUGCUAGGGACACAUCUGGAGUGUUCUCUCCAUUCAAAUUUUCAAGAAGGUAUUGUUAUAUAUCUCCUUUUUCCAUCAUUUUGAUGGUCGGUUUUUUGUUUAUUAUUCUCUUUUCUUGGUGGGAUUUUGAAAGCGGUAUUUUUGAUGUUAUCAUGUCAUUUUGCAGGGCUACUAGUGAGCGGGAUGUUCAAUUCAAAGUUUUGUAUUGUGGGGUCUGUCAUUCGGAUCUUCAUAUGUCAAAGAAUGAAUGGGGCAUGACACAGUACCCCGUAGUUCCAGGGUAAGUAAGAAUCAUUAGACCCUGUAAUUUUAAGAUCUUGCUUCUAAUUUGCAAACAUUGGCUGGCAAAAGUGAGUUUUUUUUCCUUGUUUGGAAGAGAUUUAUUCAGAUUGAGGAAUUUUAGGUUAAUUUUAACUGUCGGGUAUGCAAGGGUGGAAAUGAUAGUAGUAAGUGAUUUGUUAGAUGAAUACUAGUAGUCUUUAAUUUGACUAAAUUGGAGUUGUACGGAUUUGAUUAAUGCUGAAAACAAAUAUUUAUGAAUGUAACUGGCAGUCCUGAAAAGUGAAAACAUGAGGAUACGAUGUUUCGAAUAACUGGAUUCUUUUUAAGUUUGAGGAAAUUGACAUUUAGUCAAACGAUAUGUCUCAUGUUCUAAAACAACUUAGAUUUUUUUUUUUUUUGUCGCAACGAUAGGAUUCUUAUAACCUAAUCUAGCCUAAUUUAGGGGAAAAUGAGGGGGAUUCAAUGUGAGUAAACACUCCAUCUAACAAGGCCAAUUAAGACCGUCACACAUAGUGACUUUAGUCUUUGGUGAUGACCACCAGGCCAAAGGCCUAGUGGCCUGAAACGACUUAGAUUGAUGAUUGAUGAAAUUAACUUAUAGCAGGAUGAACAAAAACAGAACUUGCUGGAAUUUUCUCUCUAUCUCUCUCUCUCUCUUCUAUGAAUAACAGUAACUUAUUAAAUGGUCUAUUGUUAUAUUGAUUAUUGGAAGGGUGUCGAAUUCUGAAUGGAAUCCAUUAAUGCAGGCAUGAAAUUGUGGGUGUGGUAACUGAGGUUGGUAGUAAGGUAGAGAAAGUCAAGGUUGGGGAUAAGGUAGGAGUCGGCUGCCUAGUCGGUUCAUGUCGCAGCUGUGACAUGUGUUCCCAAGAUCUCGAAAACUACUGCUCGAAGCAGACACUAACAUACAGCGCCACUUACACGGAUGGAACAAUAACCUAUGGAGGCUAUUCUGAUGUCAUGGUUACUGAUGAGCACUUCAUUGUUCGCUGGCCCGAAAAUUUGCCUCUUGAUGCCGGUGCUCCACUUUUGUGUGCCGGGAUCACUACAUUCCGCUGAGGUACUUUGGACUUGAUAAACCUGGCGUGCAUGUUGGCAUUGUUGGCCUUGGUGGCCUUGGCCAUGUUGCGGUGAAAUUUGCCAAGGCUUUUGGGGCAAAGGUGACUGUGAUUAGUACCUCUCAUAAUAAAAAGAAGGAAGCCAUGGAAAAACUCGGUGCAGACGCAUUUUUAAACAGUCGUGAUCCUCAGCAGAUGCAGGUAAUUAAUGAUUGGAAUUGUGUUGUUCUGAGGAUUUUGUUACCAAAUGAUGUAUAGGUCUUGCAAGUUGCAACAUAACCAAUUUAUUAAGACGAAUUGUGUUUCAUCUAUGACUGAUUGUAUGAGCAGGCUGCAGCUGGUACCAUGGAUGGAAUUAUUGAUACCGUUUCUGCUGUCCACCCCGUUGUUCCAUUGAUCAAUUUGGUGAAGCCUCACGGGAAGGUUGUCAUGGUUGGUGCGCCUGAAAAACCUCUUGAAUUUUCCACAUUUCCUCUCAUAGUGGGUAAGGAUUUGUCUUUUUCUUUUCUUCCUCUCUGCUGGCCUCCCCCAAUCACCGAUAAUUGGACCUGUGUCUAACUUGCAAAAAUAUGAAUGAACAGGCAGGAAGACUCUUUCUGGUAGUUGCAUUGGUGGUCUAAAGGAAACCCAAGAAAUGAUAGAUUUUGCAGCAAAGCACAACAUCUUAGCAGAUGUUGAGGUCAUCCCAAUAGACUAUGUCAACACUGCAAUGGCGCGCCUGCUGAAAGCUGAUGUCAAGUACCGAUUUGUAAUCGACAUUGGGAGUUCAUUGAAAUCAGCUUAAAAUUGCUGGUCUCGCUCUUUUUAAAAUAAAAUAAAUAAAAUUGUGGGAGUGUACUUCCCUGUUACCUCUAUUUUUUGCCGGGUUGAUAGGAGAUUUAUGUUUCUGUUAGCCGAAGGCAGUGUAUUAUUUGUUCUGAGGGGAAGCUUUUGUUUUGAUGUACUUGAAAACUGGUAUCUUCCGAGUCUCAGUGGUAACAACCUUAGUUGUUCUGGUCUUUUAUUGUAAUAGGCAUCUUACUUCUCUGUUUUGGUGGAACAUGUGCAUCUUCCCUUCAUAAUGUUUUUAAUGAAGAUCACUAUGUAUUAGCACCAAAAAAAUUUUAAAAAAACACGCACAACGGAAGCAAUUUUGACAUAUACGAAAAUAUAUGGGAAGAGAAGAAGAAUAAAUACACAAUAAUAACUCAAUAAUUUUGCUAACUCAAAAUCCAAUAAUAACAAUAUCAAGUCAUAGUUUUUUUUAUCAUGAUAACUCAUAAAUCUCAAUUUAGAAACUUUUUCUUAAACUUACUCAUGAAGACUCAAUUCAACCCUCCAAAACCCAACUCAAUUCUUUGAGGAACAAUAUAUUAGACUAGUAAUUAUUGAGUACAAAACUUCGUAAACAGGCACAAUUGUAAACCAAAACUUAUUUGGACUUAAAUUUGACUGUCCUUUAAACAACUUAAACAUAAGAAAAGGAAACUCCACGGAAUUUCACAAAACCUCCACUGAGGUUUCUGACUAUUUUACUUAGUUCUCUUAAAAUUUUGAAAAUUAUACUUAUCUCUUUUGAUUUGACAUUUUGGUAACCAAACCUUAAAAUAGGGUCAAAAAUUUAAUAAAUACCCUUAAAUGCCCUUAUCUUAUAAAGUUUAAUUUGUUCUUCUAAAUAAUUGUAAAGUAAUUUGGCACAAUUAUAUAUAUAUAAAAAAAAGAGUUUCAAAUUUUUCAUGCCAAUAUUUGUUAUUUGAUAAUCAACUAUAAAAACAAAUCUUUUGUAAUAAUAGGCUAUUUUUUAUAGUGCUUUGUUGUCUUAUUCAGAUUCUUUUUAAGAUAGACAAAAAAGUAGUGUUAUCUUUUUUCUUUAAGUUUAUGGACUGUUUUUUUGAUAAAAGUUCAUGGACUGGUUCGGUAAUGGAACUACCACAGUUUGGUAGUGAUUUUGGGCCAUUUGUUUUUAAUUAUUCUUGAUUGUAAAUACCCUUAAAUGCCCUUACCCUUAAAUGCCCUUAUCUUAUAAAGUUUAAUUUGUUCUUCUAAAUAAUUGUAAAGUAAUUUGGCACAAUUAUAUAUAUAUAAAAAAAAGAGUUUCAAGUUUUUCAUGCCAAUAUUUGUUAUUUGAUAAUCAACUAUAAAAACAAAUCUUUUGUAAUAAUAGGCUAUUUUUUAUAGUGCUUUGUUGGGGAUGCAGAUUCUUUUUAAGAUAGACAAAAAAGUAGUGUUAUCUUUUUUCUUUAAGUUUAUGGACUAUUUUUUUUUUUUUAUAAAAGUUCAUGGACUGGUUUAGUAAUGGAACUACCACAGUUUGGUAGUGAUUUUGGGCCAUUUGUUUUUAAUUAUUCUUGAUUGUGACACAAAAAAUGUCACUAAAAAAAUUAGAUGAUAUUAAAAACUAUCAAAAAAUAUUACUAGUUUAACGUUUGAUGUAGAAAGAUAUUGCAGAUAACAUUGAUAGUUCUUCUAUACUUCUAAUGAAAUAUUAGAGAAAUGAAUAAGAAGGAAAAGGGGAAAAAUUAUAAAAUCCAUCCUUUGUACAAAACAUGACAACAAGGGAGUUUUAUUAAAAUAUUAAGGUUCGUAUUACCAUUUUAAACGGACAAGAGAGGUAGAUAUAAUUUCUGAAACCUUAAGGGAGUCAAAUGAAAUUAUUAAAAAUCUCAAGGAAGGUUUCUGAAAUUGUCCCAAUCAAAUUUGUACUAGGACACAUAACCAAAUAAACUAAUAAUGCUUGGUUUAAAAUAUUCUAACACUAUGGAUUACCCGUUGUUUUCUAGUUUACUGCUUUUGUCAUGAAUUCUUCUGUUUUAUGGUUAAGUAGAAGUGUUACAAACUAUGUUUUGCCUAUGUGACCAGCAUAUUGCUAUGAUAUGGUAGUGGCGUCCCGGGAUCUAGUCACAAGCAGUAAUUGGUAACUCGUCUGAGAUGAAUGGAGAUUGUCUUCCGAUGCUUUGACGCACCUCAAACUAUUAUAUUAGGAAAAAUAUAUAACAUCGUCCCAGCAGAUUCAGCGAACUCAUCUUCAUAUUGAUUCGCGAAUGCCACUGGACGAAAUUAUUAGCACAAAAGCCAUCUACGCUCUGUUGUCUGCCAAUGAAACAAGAUAUUAGUAACUUGUCUAACCUUGAUGCUCGGCAUACGUACACUAGAUAUUAGUAUAUUAUAUACUUCAAAUCUUUUAAUUUUUUCUGAAAUGUACAAGUUUUUACAUUCCUUUUGUUGUUGUAUAUAACUGUUGUUUCAACAUGUAUUAAUUUUUUUUUUUUGGUUUUCUGGGCAUUGUAUCUCUUAGGUAUUGCAUUUUUAUUGGGAAUCUUAAUGUUAUGUAUUAUUUACGUAUAAAGCAAAUAGAUAAUGGGAGAAGAGGAAUAAAAUGAAUAAUAAAAAUAUUAUUAACAAGACUCAACUCUUCGCCUUCAUAAACUCAACAAAAUAAAUAGAUAUCCUAUGCAUAGUAAACAUGGCUUAAUAAAUAAGAAACAAUUACUACAGCAAAUUACAUAAUAUUAGAUCCAAAUUAGUAAAUAAGAAAACUUCAGAAAACUUAACUUGAUCCAAAAAACUGCUAAACAAUAAUAUAAAAAACUUCUCAAUUAUUACUUUUGAUUUAAUAUGUCAACAUUUUCAAAACGUGCUUAUACUUUCUUUUUUUUUUUCCGAAACAUUAGAUAAUUUCAUUGAUAUGUUGUAAACUAUAUAAUUGUUGAGCAAAGGCCCAAAUUGACUUUACAAGUGCAUCUUGGCACUGGGAGUGUAGCCACCCUUCAUCAAAAGAAAUGCUUAAUACAUGCAUGCUAACUAAAUCAACCCUUUCGCCCGUUAAGUUAGUGGACAAAAUGAAUGAGCAUUCCAUAAACAUUGAGCACAAAUUUCUGAUGUCCUCCAAGUGAGAGUGCAUUGCCAUGUCUUUGGAAUUAAUGGUUUGGAUCAUUUUCAGCAACUGUUUCUGUUUAAUCUUGAUCCGAAUCUUCUUCCAUUCCUUCUCUCUUGCCUUACAUAAUGCUAACUUAACAGCCACUCCUUGGUUCCUGAGUUUGUUACCAUCAGUAGCUCCUUUGAAUGCCCACUGAGCAAGAAUUCAUGUCUUUGAAUGCCCCUUGAGCAAGAAUUUGUUCGUUAUACAAGGAUUUUGAAUUUGUCUGGAGCAAAAUGUAACAACCUGAGUAGUUCCCCUCUUUCAAUGUGACAGGCGACCUUCACGUACAAGCACUUUUAAAGAUUGGGGGCUUAGGAUCGUGAACUCAGAGUUCUAAAUAAAAAUUGUUCAUCUGAUCAAUUAGUGAAUAUUUCCUAUAACCUUUUUAACAUUCCCUUUUCGAUCGUAUGUACUUGGAUUGAAAAUUUUCCUCGUUUUUCAAUUCUUUAUAUUUCACUGACAUUGCGUUUCUUUGGUGUUGCAUGGAUUCUGGAUUUGUCAAGAAACAAAACUUAAGUUUGUUCUGAAAGCUUGCAGGGUUUUGGAUUUUCUUUUCAAAACUUAUUUAUGUUUGAAGGUUUGAAAAUAAAGUAACUGAUAUAAUUACCUAUGUAAAUUUGUAGUAUAUAAGAAGGACAAUGGUAAAACUUGGUACUAGCACUUUCCGAGAGUGCUGUCCUUUAUCCAUAAUUUAAUAUUCAACAUUAUUUCUUAAACGUCAUCAGAUAAGUCAUUAAUGGCAUAUUUCGACCAAAAAACAAGUUUAUUUUACAAAAGAAAAUGAAAAAAAAAGAAGAAAAAUAAUAAGAGGCGGCUAAAUUCACUUUCAGACAAGUCACCAGUCCGCCGUCUGGAUCACCCGGAAGACCACAGGCAACAACAUCAAUCGACAUGAAGAGAUGUGUCAUCAUCCAUGCAGAUGUAAACAUCAAACAUUAUAAAAAGUUGAAUCUUAGAAACAAACUAGUCACAAUUCAGAAGUCACCAUACAUUAUCAAGCACUUAAAUUACAAAUGCAUAAAUUCAAGUAGACACAAACUUCAAAGGUUAAUUAUUUAAAUAAACACACUUAACUAGUAUCAAAAAAAAAAAAUACCAAAGUAGCUACCAAAUUGCUUAUAAUAUACUAGGUGGCGACACCGCGCUGUGCGCGGUGGAAUACAUGCCCAGUUAAUGUUUAGCUAGUAAUGUUGGUGAGAAUGAAAAUUAGUGAAAUACUAAACAGAGUAAAAUUAUUUGAGUAAUAUAGUUUUGUUAUAAAUAUUGAAUAGUCAUCCGAAAGAGGUUCUAGUUCUACAGGCAUUCUAAAUACGAAAAUCAAACAAGUUCAAUUUUAGUCUUGAAUGUUUAGGUUGUUGAAGCUGAGCUGAUCAACGCCUAGAAAAGCAUCCAAAAAGUAUGAAUUUAUAAUGCUGAACAUAGUAGCUCGAGAUAGCCUGAAUGCAGCAGAGCCUAGAAUCUAACAGAUAUCAACGCAAAGUUCCACCAAAAUUCAUCCGAAAUUGAACAAGGCCAUCGGGCAGAUCAAUAGCUUCUCCAUCAUCAAUAAACAUAGAAUCGUUCACCUGUCCAAAAGACUCCAAAUUAAUCAUAAUCCAGACAAAAAAUGAGGAAAAGGAAAGAAUCUUGCAAUACAUGUAUCUGAAAACAAAAUUAUUCCCACAAACUAUUUUCUCAAAAUGGCAAUAUGACCAAAAACGAACUGACAUAUGGACUCUUUCUCCACCGCUGGCCUAUUUUCUAAUCUGUAGGGAAGUGCACAAAGGAUGAAAAGGUCACACAUGCAUUGCAACAUAGCAAAGAUUCUGUAACAAUUACAGCAAAAGCACUAAUAUUUCAAGUUUUCCCUGUCCUCACUAAUACGAUAAACCUUCCAUCAUCUAACAACUUAGCCAAGGAUGAACAGGCCUCUAGACUUGCUUUUAAAAGCAUACACAGUGACCAUGAAUCUUGUAAGCAACUACCACCCUUGGAAAAAGAUAAACUACUUUUACCCACUAAGAUUAUUCUCUAGCUCAGGUGUAACAGGUACUAAUAUAUUAUUCCAACUUAUUCUUCAACUUUGAAUGAUCUAAGCAUGUUUAUUCAAUGUUCUCUUCAAUAUAUUCCUUCACUGCACAUACUUUAAGCAUGUUUGCAUAAACCAAUAGAACUAAGACUUGCACAAAAAUGGACAAACCAAAUAUCUGCAUCCAACGAAAGUGGAAACAAAUGAAGCAAACUUGUGCCCGCAAGAGAAGAGCAUCAAGUAAAGCUAAGUGAGCAGGGAGACAUACUUCUUGUAUAUUCUUUCUAUCUCCUCCACCACUCAAAUCAUGCCCAAGAAUACAACCUGCAAGACUUGACCUGACAUGUAAAGAGAACAAAAGGCUGAAUUUGCAUGAGAUAUAAUUAAUUCAUAAAGUAAACUGUGAACCCAGCUUUAGCAACAUCGGAGCCAUCAGGAAUCAGGGAACUAACACUAUGGGAAAAGGCAAUGAUAAGAAAGAUAGGAAAACAAAGAACUAUUUCUACCAGAACUGCAAGAUUGAGUUAGCAAUUUCCCAAUCUUCACGUGGAAAAGUAGAACAACUGCACGCAUAGAUAAGAAAUCAGAAAAUUACAAGUUAACAUCAAACAAGGGACAUUUUGCAGUGGAAUUACGUAAGUAUGCACUUUGCAUGCCACAAGGGAGAUGUACAGUACCCUAAAUCUACUGAAAUAGGUUCAUAUGGUCAAACAUCUUCAACAUUCAUACUCCAAUGAUGUAAUUGUUUGCCAAUCUGGUUGUUUCAUCCUUAAUUACUAAGACAGUUCUGAUUUUCAAAAAAAGUUACAAUGUUGAUGAGCAGGAGAAAUGCAGAGAGCUUAAGUUAGCAUUUUAAGGCUAAUGCAUCAAAUUAUGACCCACACACCUCUGGCUAUGAUACACAUUAUCUCCUUAAGCACAUCAUUGUCAAAUGUUCAAGAUCUAACCUCAACAGAGCAUCCAUGAGUAUUACUGCCUCAGGACUUGCUUUCAAAAUCAAAGAUGGUGCCUAGGUACAUCAUAUCAGAAAAAACCAGUUUAGGCCACAUCAGACGAGCACUAGUACCACUCUAUGAUUUUAUGAAAUCUAAAUUGGAAUCAAGAUUCUAUAAGAAGCAAGCCAUGAAGAAGGAAAACUCCUAUUGAAUAGAGAACUUCGAACACUUACUGUCUGACCAAUUUCUGACAUCAAGCAAGCAAUAUCAGCAAUCACUUUCUCGUCUCCCGUAUUAAGAGUUGGAAGAAAAAGCACUCCCUUUAGAAAUCCAAUUCUGCUUAACAAAGCUUGUGGCAAACCCUAUGCAAUAAAGGACGAGGAAUUAGGAUAUAAUACAGAAGUUCUUAUUCAGGAAACUUGAUUGUUUAUACUCCCUAAAUAAGCACGAAGAAUAACUGCAGUGGAAUCAAAACAGUAUAGCUAAAGAAUUGCAAGAACAACUCUCCCUUGUUUUGUCAGUAAGGUUGCUAUGUUCCCCAAUAUAAUAAUCUCCCAUGGUAAAAUAAACUGAUAAUAUUUCGUACACAUGAUCUUAGUUUAAACGCUGCAUUUUCUAGAAUCAUGUAACAGCUAUUAUAUUAGUAUAUAUUUUUUACUCUUUUCUUUCAGCUUCACUAAAAAAGGCCUUAACCAUCUUCUGACGUCUCCCAUAGUGGUGUUGGCAAGAAGGUAGCAAGAAGAAAUAUGUUAGUCUUCUCGUGAAUUUAGACAUGAUGGAUGGAUUUGUUUUGCGUACAACAUUCAUAUAGUGCACAAUGGCACUUGAAGAAUUAAAAAGGAGAUUCCGCACAGGAAUAAGAUUGUUCAACAGUUUUGCUCUCCAAUUCUGCAUCUUACACUACUUCUGCAAUGGAGUUGUUUGAUGCAUCUGAUGCUCAAGGUUAAGCUAUUCGAAUAGCCCAAUGAACUUUAUGAAAUUAAGAAUCUCAAACCUGAUAGUACCUUUAAAUGGAAGCAAUACUAUCUACUCAACAUCUAUGAUCUUUUACUGGAAACAAUUAUCUUGAUUUAGUAAAGAUUUCUUUAUGACGAUAGACACUUGGAGCUGUAUAACCACGGUUAAUUGUUAAGAUUGUUCAACAGUUUUGCUCUCCAAUUCUACAUCUUACACUACUUCUGAAAUGGAGUUGUUUGAUGCAUCUGAUGCUCAAGGCUAAGCUAUUCGAAUAGCCCAAUGAACUUUAUGAAAUUAAGAAUCUCAAACCUGAUAGUACCUUUAAAUGGAAGCAAUACUAUCUACUCAACAUCUAUGAUCUUUUACUGGAAACAAUUAUUUUGAUUAGUAAAGAUUUCUUUAUGACAAUAGACAUUUGGAGCUGUAUAACCACAGUUAAUUGUUGAAAUAAUAUGCCAUCUAGUUCAUACAAAAAUCUGUUUUUUGCAUUACCAGAACUUAUUUAUCACAAAAUAGAAAUAAUAAGUCAAGACUGCAAAGAACUAAUAUUUUCAACCAAUAUAAGAGGAAAGAAAAAAUUCAUAAAAUAUACUGAAAAAUCAUAUUGAGAAAAUCAAACAGGUAAUAGAAGAUCAAGAAACAGCAAUAAAGAAAUGACAAACAUAAAAACUUACGUUUUGGACAGAGCAUAAAAAAUGCUCUGAGCUUCAGCUGUAACAGCAAUCCUAAAUCUUUCAGCCUCUAACUCAGCUUGCCUGAAAAAUGCUACUUAUAAAAUCAACCACAAUAAUCACAAAAUAGUCCAAAUCCACAACUUGGUCAGAAAUUAAAAUAAAAAAUUCGAAAUACGUAAUAGCAGAGUCUUCUCUGGCUUGAAGAUUAUUAAGAUCAAUAAAAACAUUUCUUGAGAUCAAGAGGGUCUUCACUUUGACCCAAAAAGGUAAACUCCUUGAUGUAAUUGGCUUUCAAUAGCCUAAUAUUCCUGUUUGGCCUUGACCCAAAAUGUAUUCCUUCUUGUAUUUCUCAAAUCCAAAGUUAAAGAAUUUCAAAACCCACAAGAAAAAUUACCAAUUCAUAAUAAAUACUGUAAAUGCAUGCGAAAAUACUGAGAAGAAAAAAUGAAACUUUUUAAGGGAAAAUCUUGAUAAAACAGGAGUAGAAGGAUAUUAAGAGCAAGUAUGUUGGAUGAGCGGUCAAAGGUCAAGACUUGGCCUUGAAAUUCUUCUCCAAUAGGGGUCUUGAUGGAGGGUAUGCAUCCUAUUGUGAAAUCUUUGUUACUGUUAUGAGCUUCCAUGGAUUUAGGCUUAUCUUCUUUUCGGCUUGUAUUUCAGCUGAUUUGAGGUUUUGUAAUGGAGCACCAGUUUCUGAAGAGGAGAGACAGAAGAGAAGGAAAAAAAUGAGGGAACUCAAAAGAUAAGACUAAACCUAUCGCCCAAAAGAAAAUUCAUGUGGUGUGGAAACUGGAAAGGAAGGGAAAAAAAAAAGGAAAAGAAAAUGAAUGACAAAGAAGAUAGACCACAAUGGGUGCUCUACAAAGGUACAACCAAUCCCUCUUAGCAUCCGAAAGAUAUAAAAAUAGAAAUCGCGCAGGCAUUUCUCUGCGAGUAGGCAGAACCGCAGAAGGCAAUAUAAAGUCGCACACAAAGGAUCACAAGAAUACACAUUGCAAAGCAUCUAACCCAACAGAACAAAGGAAGAAGGAAAUGGAGAAGUAACCGACAACAAUAACAACAAGAACAGAAAAAGCACAACAGGCCGAUGCGAAAGGAAGCAGAAAGGAAAUUACCUGAAGUAAUAGGCAAAGGAAAGCAGAAAGGACAAGCCAGAGGAUCCAGCUGAAACGGCGCUGCAUAAGUAAUAUGAGACGAAAAUAAAAAAGAUGUGGAAAAGAAACCGCAUGAAAGACUAAGAAGCAGCUGCACAGAGGCACAAGCAACAGUAAGUAUAUUAUGGUAAACUAAAGCAAAAAAUAGUGUAAAAGCAACAUAUAAAAGGCAUUUGGGGAAAAUUAUAGAAAAUAAAAGAUCAAUUAAGAAAGGGAAAUGCAAGGCAAAAGCCGGAGAUCAGAGGGCGGGUCAAAGGAGGAAAGGGAGGGAAAUGAAAAAAGGAGAUAAAAGCAGCAGGAGAGGUUACCUGGCGCAGUGAAACGGGCAAGGAGGAGCAGCAGCAGCAAUAGCAAAACAGGAACGAAAGAGCAAAUGGCCGAUUGUGGGGAGAGGCAAGGAGAAGAAACAACAUGGUUCAUGAUGGCAGCCACCUAAACAGUCAACAGGCAAGAGGAGACAGUAGGUAGAGAAGACGCGAAAGGGGGCGAAAGGCACAGUAAGUUCCGAAGGGGAGUAGCUACAGAGUGGGGGGAGAGAGGGGAAAAGAUGCGUGGACAAAGCAAUAUAGUACCAAAAAGAAGGUGAAGAGAAGACAGAGGAAGAAAGGGAAAGAAGAGCAAUUUGUGGUGGAGAAAAACACUGACGGGCUCAACCUAACAGAUGUAGAAAAGUACAGUGCAGUCAAACAGGACUAACGAAAGACGGGGAGAGUGUAGAAGGAGGCAAAAUUUCGAGUGGGUGGAGCCGGUAGAGAGGAGACUGACGAAGUGGCAGAGAGGUGCCUGACGAGCUCAACCAAACGGGCUGCAGAGCAGGGGAAAACAGUGCCAACGAAAGAGACAGAAGCAGGACCACACCGAGAUGAAGGAUCAGGUGCAACGACUACAGCUGCCAACCAAUCAACCAGCGCCACAUCACCAGGGAGCCAAUCCCCUCUCGCCACGUGGAGGACGACCACGUCCGACGUGGACACCGGGCUUCCGCCCUUAGUCUAUAUGGUUAAUAACAAGGAAUAGCAUCAAUAAUUAGAAACAAAAUAAAAAAUAAAAUGAUAUUAUUCAUCAAAGUUAAUAUCAUCCAUGUCAUCAUCUUCAUCCAGUGUAUAUACACUAGGUAAUUUUCUUCCAAAAGUUGAUAAUGGUUCCAGAAUUUCCAUCACAUCACAGGCUCCAAUCUACUGGUAACAAUCUUUUUUUCUUUACCUUUCUUACUUAACCAUUUAUUUAUAUUUCAAAUAAAUUAAUAUCAAAUUCACCCAAUAUCUCAAUAUAAUAGAUAGUAAAUUAGUAAUAAAGUUGAAUAUUAAAAAAUUAAAAACUUAAUUGAUUAAGUUAAAUCUUUUUUUUUCUUUUUUAAAGACAAUUUGUGGGGCGUACGCUUUUAACACUCCACUUCAGAGGCGCGUCCAAACCCCUAGGCGUACGCCCUGGUCUCUUAGACGCAUGCUCUAGAAUACUAUCGUCUUAUGCGAUCGCCCAAGGGCGGUAUUGGAACCCUUCGCUCUGGGACUCGCCCCACGAAUGUCUUUUAAAACAUUGGGUUGGAGUCAGCAACUGCACUAAAGAUUGGUUGUACUUGUAGGCUCUAGUUAUGAGGUCUGCUGUACUCAUUAUGCUAAUUACUUAAUAGUUUCAUUUUCAUACCACUAAUACCCACAUGAGACACUUACGUGGCUCAUAUGGUAAAGAUGGAUCUUUUUUUUUUUUUAUAAAAGAUUGUGUGUUCGAAUCCCACAAUCGAUGUGAAAGAUGUGUUAAUAAGUGAUUGUAAUAAUGUAAGCGAUCUAUGAUCCCAUAAGAAUGUAAGUAACUUAUGAUUUCGAAAACAUGUUCUGACCGGUGAUAAUAAUCAAAAUCGAAUCCACUCAAGACUAAAAAAAGAGACGCUCACAACUUCUGCAAUGACAAUUUUAUUACUUAAUCAAAACCUAAGAGAGGACCUAGUGCAGUUGGAGUUUGGUACUGUUCGGUCCAAUUAUUGUACUUCUUAUAUUAUUUGAUGUACAAUUACAUUACAUUAUUGUAUUGAAAAAAUUGCCAAAUUGGUUCCUCACAUUUUUAAAAAAAAUAAUUUUGAUCUCUCACAUUUAAAAUUAGCCAAAUUAGUCCCUAAAAUAUAAAAAUGUCUGCCCUAUUGGUCCUAGAGCUCAUUUUCACUCACUUUUCCAGCGAAAAAUCACACGCCCCUAUCACGUGCCCAUAUUUUUAAGAGCAAAAACAAAAGCACACUUCGUUCUCUUUGUUAAACAAAAAAGGCAACCAAACCUAAACCACUUUUUCUCCCCCUUUCCUAAUAUAGGAUUCAAAAGUAUAUGGGAUUCCAAUACCUCUAGUUUCAAGUGCAAUUGUAGCUCCUAUCCUCUUCUCAAGUUCUAGAGAUGAAAAUGAGGAAGGGGGAGAAAGGGUGGUUUGGAUUUGGUGGCCAUUUUUCAUUUUAACAAAUGGAACGAAAUGUGUUUUCAGUUUUGCCCUAAAAAAUAUGGGCAUAUGACAGGGGUGUAUAGUUUUUGACCAGAGAAGUGAGUGGAAAUGAGUUUUAGGACCAAUUGGGCAAACAUUUUUAUAUGUUAGGGACUAAUGUAGCUGAUUUUAAAUAUGAGGGAUCAAUUUAGCAAUUUUUCUAUUAUAUUCGAAGUAAAAGUGGCGUACGUGAAUAAAAUAUUUAACAUAUAUUCAGUACAAUAUUAUGAUAUAUUCAUACACCAAAACUUUGAACAUGUACAAUAACCGGACAAAAUUGCACAAAAUACAAUUGUACUGAGUCCAUGUUCAUCAAAGCCCCUACAAUUCCCAGAUCGAUCCCAACUCUUCAUCCCCCAUCGAAUCUCUCUCUUUCUGUCGGGUAAUAAAAUUCUUACGGGGGAUCAUUGGCGGCUUAUCUUUAUGCUCCUGCAAUGCCAGCUCUUUUUUCUUUUUUUUUUUUUUGGAGGGAAGGUACAUUAAUUUCAGAUCCCAUGCUGGACCGAUCACCUUAGCCGUACAAAUGAAUUACAUACUGCUCUUCUUUUUUUCUUUUUAAAUUUGGGCUCUCCAAAAGAAAAAAUCAAGAGGGCAUUAUAUAAUAAAUUCAAAUUAAUCUUUGCUUGAUUUAUGGUGUAGACAUUUCACACCCGGCAUUAUGCUGGAGCCACCUUGAAAGGACUCCAGUUUGCAGAUGGAGAGCCAUGGAAAAAGAUCUUUGGACCUGUUUUGUGUAUUUGAAUUUUAAUUCAGACAGCCGUAGGUCAAUCACUCACUGGAAAGAUGCAAAACAGAAGGUUAGUACAUAUUCUUGGCAAAUCAAGUUUUUGACCCCCAAAACAAUUUUGACAAGUCAUUCUUAACAUUUUUGUUCUGCAAAUUAAGGAUAACAUAUAGCCUAUUUAAUAUGAUUUUAGUCGGUAAAAGAAACACGGAAAUGGCCAUACGACUUCCCAGUAUCAGAUGAUUAUCCUCAUGCUAAUUAAAGGGCCACGUUUAGGGGUCAUCUUGAAAUCAACGACAGGUGCUUAAUUUUCAUGCCCCAUUUUUUUUCUCUCUCUCUAAAAGCGUUUGAUAUAUUUAUCAUUUUUCAGUUGCUUUCCAGAAGUGGAUCAACUUUUUUCCCUUUUCCUCACAGACAUAGGUAUCAAAAUAGAGUAUGAAACUCAGGAUAACUUUUUCAUGUUGAUUAGAUACUUGGAACAAUCACCUUUUCCUGCCGAAGCUGCAUAUGUGGGAUUAGCUCCGCGAGGAGCUCCUCGGUCAUGGCAACUGGAUGCCAAGGUACAUUAUACAUUUGCUUAAAUACUUAUAAUUUGUUACUCUUUUGGUUUCUUUUUUACUAACUGUCACACUUUCCUUAUACAGGCAAAUUAUUUGUUUGUCAUGCAUAUUUCUCUUAACUUUUCUGUUGCUGAUCUUAGGGUUAUCAAUUUUGGACUUGAACUGAUGAUGGUGGUCAUUUCACCAUAAGAGGCAUUCGCCCAGGCCAUUGCAACUUGUAUGCUUGGGUACCUGGGAUUAUGGGUGAUUAUAAGUCUGAGUUAGAUAUUAACCUCAGACCAGGUAAACCACUAAAUAAGCUUCCAUUGUUUUCUUUUCUUCUUUUAAACUAUAAGCGCUUAGUAUGAUAGUUUUACCAAGAACCAAUUACUGACUUUUCAGGCCCACUAAAUUAGAUUUCAUGUUCUUGGGAACUGAAAAAUGAAACAAACUACGACUUCUAAAAUCUCAAGAAAUUAAUUACCAAAUUGCCUAGUAUAGUAUGCUAAUUCCGUUUAAGUGUACAUUUACUUUCAUAAAAAGAAUUAUGUUUUGUGUACGCAAAGAAAUGGGUUCUAUUAAUAAUAAAAAUGGUGCAGAUUGAAUUCGUAUUUACGCCUCCUAGAAAUGGUCCAAAAUUUUGGGAAAUUGGCAUUCCUGACUGAGUUUUAUGUACCUGAUGGAAAUCCACGACUCGAAAAUCCUUUAUUCAUCAACCAUCCUGAAAAGUCACCUCUCAAUCCAAACUAAUAUUUGUAGUUGUAGACUUAGUGAUCAGCAAUGCAGAGUGCUCUGCAUUCUCAAUUGUAAGACAGAUAUUCAGCUAUACAAAUUUCGAUUGAUGCGUUUUUAUCACGUUCUGUGUUUUACUGAGACUUUGUCCUUGAUGCAAAUUUUUAAAACAAAAAUAUUGUUACUUAUUGUUAUGAACAAUUAUUGUUGCAUGACAUUACAAUCAUUAUUUCUAAUCAAUUUAACCGUUUCUUUCCUUGACAAAAAUGCGUUUUCUGGUCCUAAUUUUUUUUUCCCUUGGACAAGCCGUAGGGACUGGUUCUCUUGUAUAUAUGUUCCCCCUUGGGCUUAGAGUUAAACAUUCCUACAUUAAAGUUCUAUCCCAGCAAUGUGUGUCAUUGUGAGAGGAAAAGGUGUCACGUUUGAAUCUGUCUUCCUCCACAAACGGAUUCUUGCUACCUUCCACCGCAUGAUGAUACUCGCAGUACUACCUCAGUCUGUGCCAAUACAUUUGUGCCGAAAACCUCUAUCUUGGCGUAGUAAAGAAUCUAAACAAUAAGGAAGUAGACACCAAAGAAAAUGGCCAAAUCGCCAGAGACAGAGCACCCAAUCAAAGCCUUCGGAUGGGCUGCAAGGGACCAUUCCGGUUCUCUUCCCCCUUUCAAGUUUUCAAGAAGGUAAUACUACUAUUAAUGCAGUACUUGCUGGGAUUUCACAUUACCUACUGGAACAUGAUCAUUUGUUGUCGUGUAUUUGGUGGUAAUAGAACUUUAAUAGACUGGGAUUGUUUGUGCAGGGCUACUGGAGAUAAUGAUGUACAGUUCAAAGUUAUGUACUGCGGAAUAUCUCAUUCGGAUAUUCACAUGAUCAAGAAUCAAUGGGGCAUGAGCAGCUACCCCAUGAUACCCGGGUGAAACACCAAUUACACAUUUUAUAAUGCAAUUACGUUGUUAACAAUGAACUAAGAAGCACAGAAAAACUGCAUUAAUCUCUUCAUUUGUGGUUCUUUAUCAAACAAGUUGAUGCAGGCACGAAAUUCUGGGCGUUAUAACAGAGGUUGGUAAAAAUGUGAAGAAUUUCAAGGUCGGGGAUAAAGUGGGCGUGGGAUGCUAGGUUCAAUCAUGUCGGAAAUGCGAUAGCUGCAACAACAAUUUGGAGAUCUAUUGCUCUGGACUAGUACUAACAUACGGUGCCGAAAACACUGAUGGAACCAUCACCUAUGGUGGCUACUCCAAUAUGAUGGUGGUUUGUGACGAGCAUUUUGUAGUUCGCUGGCCGGAGAAUCUUCCGAUGGAUGCCGGUGCCCCUCUUCUAUGUGCUGGAAUCACAACUUACAGCCCCUUGAGAUAUUAUGGACUUGACAAACCUGGAAUGCACAUUGGUAUUGUUGGUUUAGGUGGGGUAGGACAUGUUGCUGUGAAAAUGGCCAAGGCAUUUGGGACUAAAGUCACUGUUAUCAGCGCCAAUAUUAACAAAAAGAAGGAAGCUAUCGAGAAACUUGGAGCUGAUAAUUUUUUGGUAUGCAGCGACCAGGACCAGAUGCAGGAAGGCAGAAUUAAAUUAAGAAAAUAAUACUCUAUACUACACACAAUCCUAUGCCAUAUAUAUAUAAAGUAAAAGAUAGUUCACCUCUUAUGUUUUAAUUAUGCUAAUGUCUACGUCUAUUAUGUUAGCAUCUCGUGAUUUUUCAAUUGCCUUUUGUAGCUAAACUGGUAGAUUAAUAAUGUUUCUCUUUCUGAAUAUGCACGAGAAAACAUAGUCAGCGCGUGCUACUUUGGAUGGCAUUGUUGAUACGGUCUCUGCAGUUCAGCCGCUUGUGCCAUUGCUCGAUAUCAUGGUUGGUGCGCCAGAAAAGUCGCUCGUAGUGCCAGCAUCUCCCCUGCUUCAAGGCAAUUGUCUAAUAUUACUUCCUUUCGAUACCUUUUUUUUUUUUUUUUUUCCCAUGAAAUCAAAAUUGAUACAGACACGAGAGUUGAAUUACAGUGCAUUGUCAGAAUUUCUUAUAUAAAUGUACGACAAAAUAAUAACUGGGUAUUUCUUUUAUAAAAAUAGGGAGGAAGCUCAUAGGAGGCAGUAGCAUUGGCGGGCUAAAGGAGACACAAGAGAUGAUAGAUUUUGCAGCAAAGCACGGAGUAAUACCAGAGGUAGAGAUCAUCCCAAUUGAUUAUGUGAACACCGCGAUUGAGCGCCUUGAAAAAGCUGAUGUUAAGUACAGAUUCGUGAUUGACGUUGAGAAAACCAUGAAAGCUAGUUUUUAACAGGAUUAUAUUCAUAGUUUCGCGAAUAAAUGACUCUGUAUGUAUAGCGAGUUUUGGACAUUUUGAACGCCUAAAAUCCUAUACAUUGCCCUUUUUAGAUUUCAUUUUCUUUAAAUUUUAGUAUCACGGAAUACCGUGCAAACUGUAAAAAGAUAGUAAAAAGUGGGUAAUUUCAUUUUUUACUUUCACGUAUUUAAUUUAUGUUAAAUACAAAACCUACUAGUUUCCCUUUCUUAAUAAUAUUAGUGUAACACUUUUUGAAUUUCACUUAUAAACAUUUAUGUAUUUAAUAUAAAUUAAUUGAUUUAAAGUAAAAUGCUCAUAAAUAGCUAGUAGUUUAUUGAUAUAAUGGAAGAAACUCGUAAAGAAUUGAUAUGUUAUGGACAAUUUUUUUUUUUACUUUCAAAUACUUCAUUUAUAUUAAAUGCAAAACAUGCUAGUUUUCCUUUCGUAAAAAUAUUUGUCUAACGGCUUUUGAAUUUUAUUUACAAAUAUUUAUGUAUUUAACAUAAAUUAAAUGAUUCAGAAUAAAAUGUAUAUAAAAACCUAGUACUUGACUCAUGUAAUAGAGAAAAGCCAUAAAGAGUUGGUACUUUAUGAGAUAUUUCUUUUUUAAAAAAUAUUUAAUUUAUGUUGAAUAGUUAAUAUACUAGUUUUUUUUGUAAGAAAAUACUAUAACACUUUUUUGAAUUUUACUUAAAAACAGUCAUAUAUUUAUUAUUCACAAAAAGCUAGUAUUUUGAAUAGGUAAUGCCCAUUUGCCCAUAUGAAGUUUAUUAAUCACUAAUUGUUCUGUAGUGCUUUGUCAUUCCUUUGCUAAUACUGCUUUGUUAAUACAAAGGGCAAAUCUGGUACAAAUCUUUCUCCAUGCACGUUACCACUGCCACAUAUUAUAAGCAAUUCUUUUUAUUGCAGAGAAUUAAUCCAUAAUUUUAUCCCCAUUUAACAACUUACUGGACAGACACAAUGAUUAUACGAAAUGGAAAUCGCACAUGGUUCAUCAAACUCGAUACAAGCUUUCAACUAUCUGGAUGGAACAAAUUCAUACAAGACCACAAUCUACAAUACCACUCUAUUCUUCGAUUUUUACACAUAGGAUGUAUGGUCUUCAAAGUUGCCAUCUAUAAUCAAAAUAACUGCUUAGCUUUUCAUGAAUGGAACAUCCUUCUCAAUCAUUCAGAAUCAUCCACUAGAUGCAGUAAGCAAUACCUUUUCCAUAAAACAAUCCCACCUCUCUGUUGCAAAAUACACUAACACUUCCAUUUCUUAUAACUACAACACUAUUCACAGAACAAGAGAGACUGAUGACCCAUUUCUCAUUUUAUAUAAUGCUAACAGCAAACGAUCUCGAAUCUUUGGUGGGUUUGAUACAAAUUACAUUCUAAUCAAUAUAAUACAUACACCGCAUUACUCCUCUCAUUUCAUAUUACUUCUCCAUUUUUUCCCUAUUUUCUAUCUCAGGUAUUUAUUGGUGAUAUACCAUCGUAUAUACAAACAAAUGACAUGGGAAUAAUCAACUACUAUCAUGCUAAAACCCGAUGGAUCUUCCAGCAUGAAGGAAAAGAAAUAACAGAAGGCUGGCCAACGUUCGCGCAAAAACACUUCUUGCAUGAAGGAAGUGUCAUCCUCUUCACCUUGCUCAAUGAAAACAACUAUGAUAUCCAACUCUUCAGCAGAGACUUUAUCCAAGAAUCAUGAUUAAACAUCUCGCCUGUAGCCUCUUACGCAUAGCAAUUAUAUGUCCCCUAAACUAUCUCUGUUUUACACCCGCUUAUAUAUAACAAUAUAAAAAUAAAGAUAUACAAAUUAUUCCAAAUUAUUAAUUUAUCUUAGCUUUUACAAAAUAAUUUUCAUUCCAUUAAUUCCAAUAACAUAUCCAUUCUAUUAAUUUUGAAAAGUAAAAUACAAAUCCCAUCACUACUACCAUAUCUAUUUAUAAAUAUAUCAAUCCAAUGUACCACUUCUCUAUCUAUUAUUCUCACUAUAUUAUCAUACAAACCACUCUAAACAUUAAAUAUUAAAUAAAUCUUACAUUACACAUACAUAUGUACACAUACAUAAAUAAAUAUAUAAAAAAUAUAACAAACAAACAAAACCACAAAAAGUAUACACACUAAAAAAAUUAAACCAUUCUAUCACCUAAAAUAAAAUACUAAAUAAGUAAAUAUACACACGCAUAUAUACAAAUAUACAUACAUACUGCAAAAUAUACAUAUUCAUUAUUUGUCCUUUUAUAUAUAUUCAUUUUCUGCAAAAUAUAUAUAUCGAUAAAAAUACUAAUUUUUUGAAAAAUAUAUAUCAAUGAAAAUUUUCUAUAUAUCUAAUAAAUAUAAAUCAAUUUUGCCGCUUUCUAUUAGCUUGCAUUAAUAUGACUAAUUGUUUUAAAAAAAAAGAUAAUUUCCCUCUAUUACAAAAAUGUUACUUCGAUAAUAUUCCAAAAAUUAAAAAAUUGAAAAAUAUACCAUUGAAGACCAAAAUUAAAAAAAAAAAAAAAGAAACCUUUCUCUAAAACUGUAACAAACCCUUAUAUAUACAAACAAAAUUAUACAUGAUGCAACUCAAAAAAAAUAUAUUAUAUUGACACAAAAAUCACAGGACGAAUAGCAACACCACAAAUUGACAGGUUGUCGAAGCCUGUGCAAUAAUAAAACCUGCUCAAACUAAAAGUAAUUUCUGUAGAUAGUGGUAAGCAGGGUCGAAUCCACAGGGACUGGGAGUAACUGUUCCUUUUCAAAUUCACAGUGACAAGGGGGUGUUUUUAUGCAGAAGGUGACAAUAAAAGAAGUUCAAAUAAAAUCUAAGAAACUACUAAAAAUUAAAUAACAAAUUACUAAAAUCAAAUGAAUGAUAAUUAAGGAUCUAGCCAAGGAAUAACUUCAGCAAUGGUUCACCUAAUUGAUCAUCGAUAAGCAAAGGCAAUUCCAAUUAUUUACUAAUAAAUAGGUUAUAACUGCCAAACAAGCGAUGGCAGUCAACCCCUCCUUACUGUGUCGGUGAUCAAGGUACGCCCGUUAAUCACUGCUCUAAUUGAGAAAUAAUCCUAGGUACGCCCGUAGAAUUUAAUUCCCCAAUUGCCUUACGUAUUAGAGGAACCCUAUUCUAACCAAAUAACGCACUACCAGGGUUAUUUUAGAUUAGCCCGCGUAUCCCCCCUGACACGAAUCUAAUCGUGUCAGUUGUCACUAUUUUGAGGUAAUUAAACAAUUACGGAUUCAAUACCCCAAUUGACAAUAGAUUACCAAAUCAAUUAAUUAUCUGGAUCCAAGACAAUCAACUAAUUAAAUAACCAUAAGCAUAGUAAUCAGGGAAUACACGAAUACCAAUAAAUAAAAGGGAAAGAUUAAAUUAAAUCGAUCUCACAGGUGACCCAAAGCAUCCGUCGUCUCUUGACUAGAACGAGGGGAUUAGCUCAUAUUGGAUGAACUAAGCCCGCGGGAAAUUUCAGCAGAAGUCACGGCCAUUGUAUGCAUUUCAAGAGCCGCAAUUCGUCAAACACUUAGUAAGCAAAUGUAAGGCACAGGUAACAAAUUGAAGCCCUUUAUUGUUCCUAGCAUCCGCAGAGCAAAAUCAUUCACAAGGUGUAAGAAGGAAAAGUCAAAGAAAGCUGACAAAAAGCUUCCUCCUCACAUUCGUACAUGUCUUAGGCCAAAAAGUAAAGUACAAGGGAAAAGUCAACAAUUUUCUUUGCUAAGCUAAAGACGAAAAGCUAAGAAUUAAAGCCAGCCCCCUUUUUGAUCCUUUAUCUUCCUUCUUAUUGCGGCGGCUCACCAGGAGGGAGAAGCCCUCCGUCAGUCAUUCCUUUGCGAAAAUUACCAAAAUGGGCGUGACAUCUCGUGUUCCAAAAGUGCCCCUGGGACAGCUUUAUCAUCUGAAUUCUUUUCCUGUCAAUUUGGUACCUGUUAUCAUAUUUUCGUUUUACUCCCUGAAAUAUACGUAAACUAAGGAAAAUAAGUAGAAUCCAGCAAUUAAUCCACAUCAAGUCAGGUAAUAGGGGAAAAUAAUAAUAAAAUAAAUAGAUAAAUUUUAGCCUAUCACAAAUAUAACGACAAACAAAACUACAAAAGAUAAUCAUGCCAAAAGAAUACUAAACAAUCAUACAAACUCAAAUAAAUUAUUAAAUAUACAUAUACAUAUAUAUAUACACAUAUAUAUAAAUAAAUAAUAAAAUAUAACAAACAAACAUUUAAUUCUACUGCAAAUUACAAUGAUUAAACUCUAUAAUUUUCGUGUGCAAUUAUUUUUAUUUCUUAUAAAAAAAAUUAUACACAUCGCCUUACAUUCAAUAAUAUCCAUUUAUCAAUAAACCAUUAAUACAUAAAAUCUGUCAACUCUCAAAAUUAAUAUUAUCCUUUACUUAUUCAAAUUCUACUAAUUAAAAAAAAUACACCUUCUAUCUAUCUCAAUCACAUUCAUUCAUAAAUAAAUCAAUAUUAUCUUUACUUAUCAACAAAAAAGUACUUAAUUAAUAAACACAUUUUUUACCAAGCUAUAACAUCAAAUUAUUCCAAAUUAUUAAUCUAUCUCAUCACGCAUAUUAUCCAUCAAAUCUUUAGAUCAUAUUAAUUUAAAAAAAUACAAUACAAAUCACGUCAAUUUUGUUGGGUGUGGGCCAGCCCAUUUGUGGGCCAAUCCACUUAUGCAAAAAGCUUGAGGCUUCUCAAGCUUAAAUACAAGGAGCAGCGGCACGUUGUAUUGAAGCUUCGGUCCUUGCUUGCCAGAAAAAAAUAUAUAUAUAUAAGCCGCCACUUUUGAGUGAGACGAAGAGAGAGAAAGGGCCAGGGAGAGAGACACUUCAAAGUCUUGAUCGAAGGGCGAUUCGAAACCCGAUUGAGAUGAAAUUUUACCCACCUAAUCCUCUCAUCAAACUCUACUCAUCUACCCGUUCAAAUUUCAGAUUUCCUUUUCCUUUGGUAACACCUUUCCAAACCCACUUCUUUGACAGUUGUAAUUUUUAGAGAGUGAUUUUAUAGCAAUUUGCUUGGUUGAUAUUUGUGCUAUAAUUGUCAUCCGAAUAUUUCGGAUAGACCUGUGUAUUCCCAUUAUUGUGAUAGUGGAGAUUUUUUGACUGGAUUAGGUUCCGUGAUUUUUUCCAAUUUGGGUUUUCCACGUAAAAAUCUUGGUGUCCUGUGCCUUUAUUUUUUUUGCAUUUUAUUAUCACUAUUGGUAUUAUUACUUGGUGAUUUGGUUUAUUCCUAUUUUAACUGGUACUUGAGCAAAGAUUAAAUUUGUCCUGAGUUAACUCUGAUAUUGUGUGACUGUACUAGUACCUCUUUCCCAACAAAUUUCACUAUAUUUAUUUACAAAUAAAUAAAUCUAAUAUAUCACUCAUCUAUCCACUAUUCCAACUCUAUUAUUAUACAAAAUACUCUAAAUCUAUAUUAUUAAAUAAAUCUUUUAUUAUUCUAAAACAAUCAAUAAUGGAUAACCCGCGGAACCUGCGGGCACCAAGCCUAGUUAGUUUGUUUACGAGCUGAAGAAUUUUUGCUCGGCAUCGAGGAGCCACCUUUGGCAUCUUAACCACUCUUCCAUUUGCCAACCCAAGGCUUUGCCUUUGACAAAGUAAAGCCGUCCGACAACAGCUGAAUCUUUUUCUCGUGGAGGGGAGCCAUGUAUUAGUUUAUAGGUACUUGUUUAAUUAACGUUAACACGUUUAUUACUGUACUAACUGAAUGUGGAAUAUUCUAACACGUUUAUUACUGUAUUAACUGAAUGUGGAAUAUUCUAAUUAUAUAUACCUUUUUUCAAAAAACAACAACAUAACUGGCUGUCAUUUGAGAAUCGAGAAGAAGACAGAAAACUCGUGAUUCAUGUGAAGCCGCCAGUCCCAUUUAUGGUAUUAUACCACAAAAUUGGAAGCCUAAAAUCUGACGUUAGAUUCUCUCUCUCUCUCCUACCUCACCAGCUACGUCACCGUUAGCUGCAAACUUCCACCUAUAUGUAUAGACUCGGCCAUUACCACGUUAAGCGAAGAACCUCGCCAUUUCUAGACUCCUUUCUCUAGUAUUAGUGCAUUACUGGCUGCGAGCCUACUGUCUAUUGCUGCUUUCCUCGCUUCCUUUUUUGAACCAGUGAAAAACGCUCAGCCCCGUUAAUUUUGAAGUGAAGAAAUGGCAAAAACACAGCAUCCAGUGAAGGCUGUAGGAUGGGCUGCCAGAGACCCAUCUGGAGUGCUCUCUCCAUUUAAGUUUUCAAGAAGGUAUAGUCAGGCAUGUACAUUUUUAACUGGUUUGAUGGUUUUUUUUUUCUUUUUUUUGGUUGGGUUGGUGGGAUUAUGAAAUUGCUGUUGUUUUUGUGAUUUUGCAGGGCUACUGGUGAGCAUGAUAUUCAAUUCAAAGUGUUGUAUUGUGGAAUCUGUCAUGCGGAUCUUCAUUUCUGCAAGAAUGAAUGGGGCUUCUCCCAGUACCCCAUGGUGCCAGGGUAAGUAAGAAUUUAUGAAUCCCAAGCAUGAUCAGCUCGUCGUACUUUUAAAAUUUGCAAACUUGGCUAGCAAAAUUAUGCUAAUUUUGUUCGAGUGCAAAAGAUUACUUUGAAAUCGACGCACUUCAAGGUAAUUUUACGCCUGGUGUGUAAAAAAGGAUGGAAAACUGGAAAUGCUAGCAGAAACUGUUUCGUUGGAUCGAUAGUACUUUGGAAUUUUAUAUGACCAAGUUUGAAGUUCUAGUAUGACAAACUAAUUAUGAUUUCUUGAUUUAAUGGUGUUGUAUGGAUAGAUUUGGAUUAAGCGGACAUUAAGACAAAUAAGAUUUCGUGAAGAAUGACUAAGGAUCCUGUUAAUUUUGUUUUAACAAUUGGCAAGGUGCUGACAACUACAAUUCAUCAAUACAGGCAUGAAAUUGUGGGUGUAGCAAUUGAAGUUGGUAGUAAGGUUGAGAAAGUCAAGGUUGGGGACAAGGUUGGUGUCGGUUGCCUAGUAGGAUCAUGUCGCGGCUGUGAUAUGUGUUCCCAAGAUCUUGAGAACUACUGCCCGAAACACAUACUAACAUACAGCGCCAUUGACACGGAUGGAACACUCACGCAAGGAGGCUAUUCUAAUAUCAUGGUUGCUGAUGAGCACUUUGUUGUUCGCUGGCCGGAGAAUCUGCCGAUGGAUAUCGGUGCACCCCUCCUAUGUGCUGGGAUCACUACUUAUAGCCC